rnacentral:rRNA from 1 species
ACCAAGGCGCUUGAGAGAACUCGGGUGAAGGAACUAGGCAAAAUGGUGCCGUAACUUCGGGAGAAGGCACGCUGAUAUGUAGGUGAAGUCCCUCGCGGAUGGAGCUGAAAUCAGUCGAAGAUACCAGCUGGCUGCAACUGUUUAUUAAAAACACAGCACUGUGCAAACACGAAAGUGGACGUAUACGGUGUGACGCCUGCCCGGUGCCGGAAGGUUAAUUGAUGGGGUUAGCGCAAGCGAAGCUCUUGAUCGAAGCCCCGGUAAACGGCGGCCGUAACUAUAACGGUCCUAAGGUAGCGAAAUUCCUUGUCGGGUAAGUUCCGACCUGCACGAAUGGCGUAAUGAUGGCCAGGCUGUCUCCACCCGAGACUCAGUGAAAUUGAACUCGCUGUGAAGAUGCAGUGUACCCGCGGCAAGACGGAAAGACCCCGUGAACCUUUACUAUAGCUUGACACUGAACAUUGAGCCUUGAUGUGUAGGAUAGGUGGGAGGCUUUGAAGUGUGGACGCCAGUCUGCAUGGAGCCGACCUUGAAAUACCACCCUUUAAUGUUUGAUGUUCUAACGUUGACCCGUAAUCCGGGUUGCGGACAGUGUCUGGUGGGUAGUUUGACUGGGGCGGUCUCCUCCUAAAGAGUAACGGAGGAGCACGAAGGUUGGCUAAUCCUGGUCGGACAUCAGGAGGUUAGUGCAAUGGCAUAAGCCAGCUUGACUGCGAGCGUGACGGCGCGAGCAGGUGCGAAAGCAGGUCAUAGUGAUCCGGUGGUUCUGAAUGGAAGGGCCAUCGCUCAACGGAUAAAAGGUACUCCGGGGAUAACAGGCUGAUACCGCCCAAGAGUUCAUAUCGACGGCGGUGUUUGGCACCUCGAUGUCGGCUCAUCACAUCCUGGGGCUGAAGUAGGUCCCAAGGGUAUGGCUGUUCGCCAUUUAAAGUGGUACGCGAGCUGGGUUUAGAACGUCGUGAGACAGUUCGGUCCCUAUCUGCCGUGGGCGCUGGAGAACUGAGGGGGGCUGCUCCUAGUACGAGAGGACCGGAGUGGACGCAUCACUGGUGUUCGGGUUGUCAUGCCAAUGGCACUGCCCGGUAGCUAAAUGCGGAAGAGAUAAGUGCUGAAAGCAUCUAAGCACGAAACUUGCCCCGAGAUGAGUUCUCCCUGACUCCUUGAGAGUCCUGAAGGAACGUUGAAGACGACGACGUUGAUAGGCCGGGUGUGUAAGCGCAGCGAUGCGUUGAGCUAACCGGUACUAAUGAACCGUGAGGCUUAACCUUACAACGCCGAAGGUGUUU